AUGGCAGUCACUCUCACUGAUGGAAUGUAAAUUAGAAUUUACUAGCAAAAAAUUCUGGGAAAUGUGCUCUUCAGAACUUAAAAAAUUCUGCAUCUCCAUGAAGCCAUAGUCUGCUGGGAAACAAUGGGUUUUUU
rnacentral:lncRNA from 1 species